UCAAACAUCAAGCCUGGCUUGGUAUUGGGUGUCGGGGCCUGGCCCCGCGCCCCAAUUUCGCCGGCUGGACGACUCCGACUUCAAGCGUUGCGACGUAACAGUUCUUCGCGAGGGGGAGGGACGCGCCACGCCGUUAAACCUUUUACAAA
rnacentral:misc_RNA from 1 species